rnacentral:lncRNA from 1 species
AGAUCAGGAGCAACUCAGUCAAAACCAGUCUUUGCCCAAUUCAGUACUUCUUUUCAAGAGAAAAUCCAGUCUUGCAAUUAACCAGUUACAUCGGUUUCCAUUUCCAAAACGGCAAAACUCAAAUCACAUGCAAAAUCUACAAGCUGAAACCUAAUCCAACCGGUCAGUGGUUUAUAAAAUUCUUACACAUAGGGGUCCCUGCUGGUCAACAACGCGGAAGCCACUACUCUGCGAAAAUGGGCCGAAAAUCCCAGAGUCAUCUCCAUUCUCCACGAAUUUGCACUUCUGUGCAUGGAAAACCAAAUCAUUUCCAGAUGCUGAUAUGUAUAAAAAGCAAGUUCACAUGUUAGCAAAACCUGAGGGUGACAUAAGAAAGAAAGGUGAUCAUCAAAUAGUCACACGUGAUGAAAGUUGAAAAGUACCGGGCACAGAUGUCACCAAGAUGCAAAGCUCCCAGGAAGCCCGUGAUGGAAGUCAGUGGAUUGUGACUUUGUGAGGCAGGAUAAGCUGAAGCCGCGCAACUUGCACAUUUGCUCACAGGAUCCAGAAAGCAGGAUAUUUCUUUCUUGAUACUCCCAGUAAACCCGCGAAGGCAAAUAAGCAAGACAUGGUCAAUUUCAAGUGGUUGUAAGUUUCCAGUAACAGCCACGCGUCGCAAGAAAGGUGCAUGAAACAUCUACAACCAUGGAGAUAAUGUAUUACUGUGUAUAAGGCUUAUUUCAACUUAACUAGUAGUAAAGUAGUGAUCUAAAACGUCUUAUAUUAGUGUACAGAGGGAGUAUAUUCUUAUUAUUUAGAUUGUCAGAAGAGGAUAUAUGAAAUAGGAAGCGACACAAAUAACACAAGGUUCUUUACCUGUGGUCAACGAGAAAAAAUAUUUAAUGUCUGGUAGAUGAUUAGAUUGCUCAAGGAUCAGAAAGUAAUGAUACUAGUGGUGACUGGCCUUUAUUAUUGCCCAAAAAAAUGGUCCCAGGCAUAUUGAAUAGACCUAUCUACUGACCAGAAGAAGUAUACAACAUAACUGCCAACAUGCAGAGCAUGGGAGAGGAUGCUAAGAGCUGUAACAGCAUUUAAGCUCACUUCAGUUGUUACUUUGACAGCAUCACAAAAUAAAAGCAAAUGGAAACAUUUCUGGUUAGCUACGCAGCCAAAGAGAAGAAUAUUAUUGAAUCCCCUAUUCUCAUAGUGUAAACUAAUCUUUGCGGCGGCACAAGAUUUUAAUUUUCCAAUGAGCCCAGGACCCUUGCGAGAAAUUAAUCGUAACAAUCCUUUAUCUUCAACUAGAAUGUUAUAUCCAGUUUUUCAUUUCAGAGGCCAGUAAAAUGCUUCCAAUUACUUCACGGCAAGAUCAGUACUCCCUCCGAUCCGAAUUAAAUGAUGCAAUGUAUAGAGGUUGCAUCAAUUAAUUCGGAUCGGAGGGAGUAGCAUAUAUCAUGACUUUACGCAGGCAGCAAAGCAUAUUCUUUUUACCUUGGGACUAAAAUUUCACUUCACUACUAUGGAGUCCCUCCCUACAGACAAAGUUAAUGGGUGAAUUACAGAAAAUGAUAUUUCAUCAUAUGAACUUCCAAUUUUUUUACUUAUAAUUAAUUAUGCCUAUAAUUCUGCAUAACCUGUCUGUGAAAUCUGAAAAGAAAUACUUUCCAAAGGACUGCAAACAUCAUCUCCUAAACCCUGACCACACUAGGUAAUGGUAAACCAAAACAGUUACAGCCCAUUCAUAGCGAACCUACCAAAACCAUGAACAGUAGACUCAGACCACUUGUUUGUUUAUUUUCAUGUAGAAACAAAAAAGAACAAAUAAAAGGUCACUAUCUUUUAAUGGCCACAUCAAGGAUCUCACUUCCGUUGCUUCCUCCAUCCUCUUCUUUCUUG